rnacentral:rRNA from 1 species
UAGUCCACGCCGUAAACGAUGGAUACUAGGUGUUCGGUAAAUUUAAGAUUACUGAGUACCGGAGUUCACGCAUUAAGUAUCCCGCCUGGGGAGUACGGUCGCAAGGCUAAAACUCAAAGGAAUUGACGGGGGCCCGCACAAGCGGUGGAGUAUGUGGUUUAAUUCGAAGCAACGCGAAGAACCUUACCUGGUCUUGACAUCCCGUGCUAACUUUAGAGAUAGAGUGUUAUCUUCGGAUACGCGGAGACAGGUGCUGCAUGGCUGUCGUCAGCUCGUGUUGUGAAAUGUUCGGUUAAGUCCGGCAACGAGCGCAACCCCUGUCCUUAGUUGCCAUCAUUAAGUUGGGUACUCUAGGGAGACUGCCGGUGUUAAACCGGAGGAAGGCGGGGAUGACGUCAAGUCCUCAUGGCCCUUACGACCAGGGGCUACACACGUACUACAAUGGGCAAAGACAGACCGUCGCGAAGCAGUAAUGUGGAGCUAAUCGGGUAAAACAUUGUCUCAGUCCGGGAUUGAGGGUCUGCAACUCG